AAGAUUACACCUUUUCUUGAUUUCUGGCUUCAGCGAGUAUUGCACGCACUUGUACUCCUGCAGUUUGGUCUAGGUAUUUAUAGUGUUGUGCCUUAAAUUAUUGUCCAGAUAAGUGUGAUGUUUAACACGAGUGAUGAUUGGGUUUAGUAUGGUUUUGAUUCGAUCUAAUAAAUCGAGUUUCUUGGCUGUUGUUGGUAAGUCAGGGGGUGUUGGCUGUGGCUUUUGUAAUUGAUUUUUUUUGCGGUAAUUCUGCACAGCUCUAUGUGCAGGUGAAAACUUUGACAACCAACACUUCUACUUCUGCUUGUUUUUGUGUAUGUAUGUGUAAUUUAGCUGGCCAUGUCAUAAUUUAUCCAAAAAAUAGUGUAAUCUUGAUAAUUUUCUCAUUUUUAAAAUUUGAUUUCAGCUCGGUAUUUGAGUUCUUGUAGCUUUAUUAUUUUUCUUGAAUUAAAGUUAAAAUCUUUACCUUUUUGUUGAUUAUUUCCCCUUGUUUAUGUAUUUAGGGUUUUGAUCCAUUGGGUCGUUUUGGCUCCCCAGGUGAGAAUUUCUUGAAAAAGUUCUGUCAUUCUACUAGGUGUUUGAGAAAUUAUACAAGUUGCUAUUUUCUUCCAAACAGGAUCAGGAAGACAAACCGCAACAACAUAAUAAUUACACUUAAUAUUAAGAUGAACAUCAAGGACAACAUAGCAUGGUGUGUGCAUUUUUAAAAAUAGACAAACAGUCAAGUGAACUUAAAAAGUUACUUUCCAAGUUGUAAUAAAUGAAAAUUCUGAGAGUGUUGUUCGGGGGAGGUUGUUCAUUCUUAGUUCAAGGGAUUUGUUGGAAAUCCGGAUUAGGGUGUGCGUGUGUGUGAGGGGAGAUGAUUACGAUUUACUUUAGGAUUUUUGUGCUUCAUUGUGGCCUGUGUCGGUUAGUGGGUGGUCCAAUUAACAGUGCUUCAGGUUGUAUGUAGAAAUGGCUUCCUCGAGUGGUUCGGGAAGUGUUGCUCAAGCCCUGUCAAAUUUAUCGGCACCACUUAAAGAUUGAAUGAACCAGUACAUCUAAUGCCUACCUAAUAGAAUUUGAAUCAUUCAGAUUUCUCGAUAAUUAUAGACUACAAAAAUUACUUGCAAUUUUGAUACAUUGUUUUGUAGUAACAUUUUGUGUUGUUUCCUCACUCGGUGCUGCAAUAAUUUAAAGUCUGCAGGCUGUUGUAUUGUCUUAGGCUUUUCUUGUACGACAUUGUUCCCUUCACAUUUCAAUUCUUUGUCGGUUUUUAAUAAUGGUGAAUUUUUUUGUUAAGUUUUACCUUAUGAAGUCUGACUGUGGCGCAGGUUCAAACAAUUCUGAGUUACCAACUAAAGAGGAUAUUUGUCCUCUCAUCCUCAUUCAGCAUAUUUAGCGUCUCAGAAAAAAGGGUCAUUACAGUGUAGGCCAGGACCGAGAAAUUAUGUUGAGGAAUGCAGUUUCUUUAUCAUCUACAUAUGAUGAUAAGUAACUUUUUUACAAGUGGGUUAUUGUUCAAUGUGGUGUUCAGCCUUAGGUUAUUGUCCAGAUAUUACACACACUUGUACCGCUGUAGUUUAUUGAAUUUGGUCAUAGGUGUUUUUGGUGUUCAGCCUUAAGUUAUUGUCCAGAUAUCUGUGGUUCUUGAUGUGAGUGAUCAUCGGGUUUAGUUUGGUUUUGAAAGUGUCUUCUGCUGGUAUUAUAGUAGAGGUUGUCAAUCUGCAAAUGGUUUUUAAACCCAUAUAUUAGGGGAGGAGCCCAGGGAAGAUGAAUUUCCCUCCAUUUGUUGUGUUUCAUAAGCCUAUAUGGAUUGCAAAAACUAAAAUAAAGUGCUCCUUUAUAAAAAAAAUUGUUACAUGCUGGAAAAUAAUCUGCUAUUAGUAAAUAUGAGUCAUUGGUAAUUUAGUUGUCAAUUGUUUUGUAUAAAGUUUUCAAGGUAUUUCACUGACAGUUUAUAUCAAGACUUGGAAGAUAUUUGGGCAAAUAUGAAAUAUCGUCAACAACAAAGUUCAAAUCACAACCCCAUAUAGAUAUUUACUAAUCAAUCUAAUAAAUCGAGUUUUUUAGUUGGCCUUGCCAUUACCUUACCUUCUAGCGUCUGAGGAAAAAAUGUCAUUACAGUGUGGGUCAGGACCGGGAAUCUAUGUUGAAGAAUGUAGUUCCUUUAUCAUCUACAUAUGAUAAUAAGUGCUAUUUUUACAAGUGGGUUACUGGUUGCAACCAAAAAAAACUAUGUCGAUGUUAUUGUUAAAUGUCAGGUGCAUUGAAACUUGGGUUUGAGACCCUAAAGUGAUUUUCUUUGCAAAGUUGUUGCUUAUAUGUAUUUAUGAUAUAGACUGAUUUAUAGCCAGAUUGUUGCUGCUGCUUUGCUGAGAGUUGUGUCCUUCUAUGUUGAUUUGUUAUGCUCUUAGUCUAGAUAUCGCUGAGUAAUUUAAUGAAGAAAGGCUUGAUUUUAAUCUGUAGGAGGACCUCUUCCAUUACAAGGUGCCUGCAAGAAUGGCACUUUAAACUUCAUUGCCCAGGCUACUAGAGAAUUGGGACGGCCGAAGCUGACCAUCACCGAAGCUGUUGUGGAAAGGAGAAAGCUAUCCAAGCAGAGGCAAAAUGCUAGACGUACUAGCCAACAAGGUUUGUAUGCUAAACUUGCAUGUUUUCCAGGUGUAAGUAUUCAAUUACUACACGUAUAGAUGAAGCAUCUACUUUUAUAUAUAAUAUGCUAACGAAGGCCAAAAAGAGCUCAGAAAAUAUGAGUGAAAUUUCCGGUUUCCUCCUAGCUAUAACAUUAUUACAGAAGUGCCAUGCUUUAUAUUAUUACUCGUAACGCCCCGAAUAGAUCACUGAUGAGGAAAAUAAUCAGCUCAGAGCCGGGACGAUCAAAGAGACGCAACUUGAUUUCACUGCUACUUGAAAUCAAUCAGAGACAAGCGUAAAUAUACUAUUUAUUUGAUUACAAAGUGAGAGUUUGAGAUGGUGAGGGGCCAAGACAAGUGUUCAAGGUUUAUCAAUUUAUUAUUAUAGUUGAUGAAUGUAUCUUCGGCGGUGAUGAGGUUCGGUUAUUACUGAUUUUGUCAUCUCAUUUUUGUUCUAUAUAAUGUUUUCUAUUAUAUUUGUCGUUACGCAGAUUGUGAUUUAUGUGUUCUAUUAUGUAUUACCCAUUUUUCUUUGUGUUGUAGUUGUCUGGGAGCGCAAGCAACUUGUGCUUGCAGUAAUUUUAGGUUUAAGAUGUUAGGUGUAGACAUCUUAAACCUAAAAUUAUCUUCAAGGAUUGCAUAUGUUGUUUGUUCAGGUGUGAGUUUCGAGAGCUAUAGACUAAAGGUGAUGUUUUCAUGUUAAUUCAGGUUCUUGAAUGUUUUGCAGUUGUGUGGUAUUUACUGGAUUUAGGAAGUAGGGUGUGAGGUUUUUAGUUGGCUGAUAGGCACCAUGCGCAGGAGUUAGCUUAGGCUGUAAUUGCAGAAAGAGCAAGGAAACCUGCAGUUUCUGGAUAACACUGUCCUGGAGAUGAUCGCUUAUAAGUUUUUGAAAAAUGUCGUGGGUGUUGGUUUGUAGAUAUGCAUGAGGGUGGCGGAAAUGGGGAAUAUUGCUCAGGGUUUGGAUUCUUGAUAAGGACAAAGAAAGUUGAUUAUAAGGCUCCCCAGGGUUGUCAGCAACUGGCCAAGAAACUUACUGCUUUUGCUUUUGACCUCAUUGUUGUUGAUACACUGAUCUGUUUUGCGUCCUUGUAGCAGUAUAUAUUUUGUUGGACACAUGGUUUUCUUAUUUUACACCUUGUCAAAUGUUUUGUGUUCUACUUUUUGCAGAUAAAUUGCUCUAAAUGUGAUUUAUGUUUAG